ACUCCUACGGGAGGCAGCAGUGGGGAAUCUUGGACAAUGGGGGCAACCCUGAUCCAGCCAUGCCGCGUGAGUGAUGAAGGCCUUAGGGUCGUAAAGCUCUUUCGCCAGGGAUGAUAAUGACAGUACCUGGUAAAGAAACCCCGGCUAACUCCGUGCCAGCAGCCGCGGUAAUACGGAGGGGUUAGCGUUGUUCGGAAUUACUGGGGCGUAAAGCGCGCGUAGGCGGACCAGAAAGUUGGGGUGAAAUCCCGGGGCUCAACCCCGGAACUGCCUCCAAAACUCCUGGUCUUGAGUUCGAGAGAGGUGAGUGGAAUUCCGAGUGUAGAGGUGAAAUUCGUAGAUAUUCGGAGGAACACCAGUGGCGAAGGCGGCUCACUGGCUCGAUACUGACGCUGAGGUGCGAAAGUGUGGGGAGCAAACAGGAUUAGAUACCCUGGUAGGAUAGCG
rnacentral:rRNA from 1 species